rnacentral:tRNA from 1 species
ACAAAUAGCAUAUCACAUGCAUUACGAUUUCGGCUCGUAAAGCGGAACUUUUCCUUUGUUUU